CAUAAUUUUUAGAAUAUCUAAUAGUUUAUGCUCAAAUGGAUAGAUAUUAUAUGUAUUAUGUAUAAUCAAUGAUAUAAUGCAGACAAUUUGAACACUUACAAUUAAUACAAUUUUUGAACAAUUACUUUUUAUGAUUCUAAUAAUAAUAAUUGAUCUAUAUGAUAAUAUUUAUAAAUUCCUAUAUUCUCAUAUAUUACAUACUAUAUACAUACACUAUUUAGAUGCCUUUAAUAGACACAUAAUAAUUUUUUGAACACAAUUUUGUAACUGUCAGUUGUCUUAAAAAAAAUAAUAUUUUUACAUGACUAGCAAACAAUAUUAUAUGAAAAAAAUUUUAAAAGUAUAUAAAGUAUAAAGUAAUUACUAAUUACAAUUAUUAAACUACAAAUUGAAAUAUUUGAAUAAUAAUAAAACUAUGCUUAAUACAGCAGAAUUUGUUUAUACUUAUACAUUAUAUUCUCUUAAAUAAUAAUAAAAAGCUUCACUAACUAUCUGAUAAAUAAAAAAAAAAAAACAUUUUUUCAAGACAGUGCUACUAGUAGGUAGUAUUUAAAUUAUACAAAAUAUAUUUUUUUUAAAUUAAUAUAAACAAAUUUAAGGUUUAAAAAAAAUUAAAAAUAUUUUGUACUUUUAAUUUUGUAUAAAAUAAAUAAAUAAAAGUUAUUUUAAUCAACAAUGAAACAAAAAUAUUAAAUAAAGACAUAAAUAGGUAUAAUAUAAGGUAUGGUUUUAGAAAAUAAAUUUAAAAAAAAACUAAGUCAAUAAAUUAUACAUUUUUUUGUAUAAAAUUAAAAAGUUUUACUGAAUCAUAGUACUUACAGCACUUAUAAGAGGGUUUAGGUGUAUAUUUCACCCCUAUUUAUGUUAAUUUAAUGAGAAGAGCUGUCUCAUUAAACUAACAUAAUGGCUUAAUUAGAUAUUAUUAUGUUUAUAAUUUCAACCUGAAAGUAAAUUGAUGGGUAGCAUUUAGUAAUAAAAUUAUAUUUGUAUGUAAACUUCUAAACUCCAGACCAGCGCUGUAAUACAUCUAGAUACUUUUUUUGUAUCUUGUACCUGUAUCUAGAUACUUUCUAAAAAAAAUGCACCUGUAUCUAUAUCUUUGAUACAAAAUAUUGUGUACCUUUAUAUAAGUAUCUAAGAUACUUUUUAAGACAAUUCUUACUUUUCUGAUUCAAAAAAAUACAAAAAUAAAACUUAAAAUUCUAAAAUCUAAUUUUUUUGAAAUAAAAAUAUCAACAAUUUAUUGUUGAUAUGUAUUACUCUCUGAUUUCUUUAUCAUUAUAAAUUAUUAUGUAUGAGUGUGUGACUACUGUGUAUUGAUAAGUGGAUAAUACCCAUUAUUUAUUUUAUAUUUCCCAAUAAUUAACCAAUAUUUGAAUAUUGUUAUAUAUAUAUAUGUAUUAUAACUUAUAACUUUAUAAGAAUUAAAUUAUAUUUGAAAACUAAGAUAAAAAUGUAAAUAAAAAUUAUUUUAUUAUAAAUUAGACACCCAUUACAUGUUUUGUUAUAAUUUUAUAAUUCUAUAUUUUUAAUGAAUUAAAUAGGUAUUUAUAAAAAAAAUUAACUGUUUUCUUAAAUGGAUUCUAAGAUACUCUUAAGAUACUUAUAACUGUAUCUAGAAACUUUCAAAUGAAAUGUAUCUGUAUCUAGAUACUAAUUUAAAGUAUCUUAUUACAACACUACUCCAGACCCAGUUAUUUCUACUAUUAAAACACAAUUAUCAUUUAAAAAAAUUAAUAAUAAUAAUUUGAGUAUUGGACUUUAAUAAAAUAUUAUAAUACCUAUUUAUGUAAAUCAAUAUGUUUAAGUCUCAAAAAUAAUCAUAGUUUUCUGAUUUAUUAUUAAGAUUUGAACAUAGUAGAAACAAAUUAAUUUAAGUCAACUUAACUUCAAGCCAACUUGAACUUGAGUAAUAUAAACAAAUAAUAAACAUUACAAAUUACCAUAAUAAUGGUAUUUUAUGUUUAUAUUACAUAUUAUAAGUUAUUAAUUAUGUAAU